rnacentral:rRNA from 1 species
UACGAAGGGGGCUAGCGUUGCUCGGAAUCACUGGGCGUAAAGGGUGCGUAGGCGGUUCUUUAAGUCAGGGGUGAAAUCCUGGAGCUCAACUCCAGAACUGCCUUUGAUACUGAAGAUCUUGAGUCCGGGAGAGGUGAGUGGAACUGCGAGUGUAGAGGUGAAAUUCGUAGAUAUUCGCAAGAACACCAGUGGCGAAGGCGGCUCACUGGCCCGGUACUGACGCUGAGGCACGAAAGCGUGGGGAGCAAACAGG